UGAGAUAAAUUAUCAUAAAAUAAAAUCGGCUCCCUAGUUAAGUUCAGGGCGGUUAUUUGAGGGAUGUUCAAAUAAAUGUUAAAUGAAACUCUUUGUUUAACCCUGAGUGUUAACUUUAAUUAUGAGCUUAUACUUAACUAACAUAAAAUUAGGGGUAAAACGGGGUUAGGGGUAAACUAACUGUAUUGAAGGGUUCUUAAAUCUAAGUGACACUUAUGUUAAGGUGACGGUGGCAAAGUGCGCCUACCGGGCAAGUGCACCUACCACAAAUAUCUCGAAAACUACCGAUUUGAUACUAGUAGUGACACCUUAUAUCGAUGCUACAAACUAAAUCAUAGUUCUUGGUGAAACUCAUAUAUAGCUCAAGUCAUGUGAGUUUGAGACACGAGCCAUUUUAUUUUCACUGAUAUUCAAAGUGGUGAGGAGAGAUGACUAUGGCGUGAUCAUCGUCGUAAAUCUCAAGAAAUCGAGUUUUUACCGAUAUACGAGUGAGAUGGGGCGCUAUGAAAGAAAAACUGUAGGUCCUUCAUGGUCCAGAGAGGCUUUGAAUGAAGCAGUUGAAGCUUUUCGAUCGGAUAGAAUGUCUGGGUAUGCAGCCGCAUCAACCUUUGCUAUCCCAAGAAAAACUAUUAUGGACCACGUCACAGGUCGAAGGGGCCAAAAAUCAUUAAGUCUAGGCAGACCACCAGUACCUAUUUAAAUAUGAGACAAAAUGAUGGCAAAAUGUUUGCCUAUAAUGGAAAAAAAUGGCUUCGGCCUGACUCGUACAGAAUUUCUAGAUAUUGUUAAGGGAUAUGUCAAUCAGAACGAUCUAAAAGCACCUUUCAAGCUUCAAAAAGCGUUAUAAGUUAUCAAUUAAAAAACUGCAGGCUGUAGAGGUUGCUCGUAAGAAUGCCGCAGACCCAUCUGUCAUCCAAGAAUUUUAUGAUAUUUUAGACAGAGUGAUUGCCGACUUAGGGCUUCAGGACAAGCCUGAGCGAAUUUAAAAUUUGGAUGAAACCAGUUACUGCAGUGAUCCACAAAAAACCAAAGUCAUAAGUCUUGGGGAUUUCCAUCGACUCGGACUACAUCAUCCUCUGGAACGUCGAUCUCCUUCACUUUAGUUAUUAAGUUGUAAGGGUAACAAGCCUUGCUUGAUUAAUGUUUUUGAAUAAUUACAACUAAUAUAUUUUAGAAGAUGUUUCUCAUUGAUUUUCUUUUCGUUACCUAGUUUUGUUAAGAAUUUAUAAUAAAUAUUACACUUAAUAACUAA